rnacentral:rRNA from 1 species
GAUGAACGCUGGCGGCGUGCCUAAUACAUGCAAGUCGAGCGAACAGACGAGGAGCUUGCUCCUCUGACGUUAGCGGCGGACGGGUGAGUAACACGUGGAUAACCUACCUAUAAGACUGGGAUAACUUCGGGAAACCGGAGCUAAUACCGUAUAACAUGUUGAACCGCAUGGUUCAACAGUGAAAGACGGUCUUGCUGUCACUUAUAGAUGGAUCCGCGCCGCAUUAGCUAGUUGGUAAGGUAACGGCUUACCAAGGCAACGAUGCGUAGCCGACCUGAGAGGGUGAUCGGCCACACUGGAACUGAGACACGGUCCAGACUCCUACGGGAGGCAGCAGUAGGGAAUCUUCCGCAAUGGGCGAAAGCCUGACGGAGCAACGCCGCGUGAGUGAAGAAGGUCUUCGGAUCGUAAACCUCUGUUAUUAGGGAAGAACAAAUGUGUAAGUAACUAUGCACGUCUUGACGGUACCUAAUCAGAAAGCCACGGCUAACUACGUG